CCGAGUGGAGCGCGCAUGUUAACGGUAUUGAGAGCGGAGUGGAGCGUGCCUGUUAACGGUACUCAAACGUCUUCCAGGCAACGAUCUUAUUUUUUUAAUAUUACCGUUUAAAAAAGCUGGAUUUCUUCUCUAUUUAUGAGCAGUUCAUCUGCGAAGAGGGGCAGAUUGUUCCAUAUUGUGUAGUUAUUUUUUAAGUUUUGUUUGCCUUUCAGAUUGUUCCGUAUUCUGUUUUUGGUUUUGUUUCUGGCAUGGCCAUGCCCUUUCUUCCUUCUGCUUUUGAGUUUUGCGUUUUUUCAUUCUUCAUUCAUGGUAUUUUGUAAAUGUUUUGUGUGUGGAUGGUAAUUUUUCAAUGGUAAAUUAGUUCGACCAUGAUAGGCCUUCACAGGUAGUUCCACAAUUAAAGAAGUCGUUUCUGGGUUGUACAUUUUGCUAGCUCAGGGUUCACUACAAUCUCUGGAGUUGCCCACGGAGCUGGCUCAAGUUCACUACUUUCAAAUUCUCAACCCUGUUGUUGUUGCUUCAAUUUACAUGAAUCAAACAUGUUUGGGACCAUGCUGGAGUGGCGGUGGGCUCGGUUGGUCGCUUAAUAAUGUACUGAUUUCUUCUCAUUAAUGGAUCAGUUUAAGAAGAGCUAUAAAGAGGCUAACCCUAAAGCCAAGGGUAUUGCCCAGGUUGCCAAAGAUGGUGGUGAUAAGUGAAAGUCUUUGUCAGAUGAGGUUUGCAUCUAGGCUACCAUAUGGUUGGUAAAAUAUGUAGUGUCUUUUAACUUUAGCUUUUGUAGUUUGAAAUUUACUGUCUAUAUAUAUUAUAUACAUAUAUAAAGUUUGUGUUUGAAUAAACUAUGUGUGAGGUGAGUAAAUUAAUUUUAUGGGAAGAGUGUUUUAAUUUUGGGAUUCACCUUGUGUAUUUAUAAUUUGGCAAGUUUGAGUUCAAAUGUUUAC